rnacentral:misc_RNA from 1 species
GAAAUAAGGAACUCCUGUCCUGGGCCCUCUCAUCUGGUUGUUUUCCUCAGUUUCAGAGAAGAACUUUACCUCUCUCUCCAUAUUCUCAUUGAAGUUCAAUAUUGAAGCAACAUUUCCACAUCGGUAACAAUAGUUGGGAGCAGACCACACCGUCACCAAUCCUUUAUCUUGAAACAUGUAUUUCAAACCUUCCUGGACAAGCUGGUGAGCCCGGCAAACUAGAUCUAGUUUAUUAAUGUGAUUAAACUCAGAGGUAACCCUGGAUCCAAAAAGCCAACCUGCUCCUCGAGGACUUACUGCCCAUGUUUCAAUCUCUUCAGGAUCACUCCACAUAAGAUCACAAAAAGGCCCUUCAUGCGGAAUUUCACAAUUACGAUCAAUGACCCUGAUCUGAUCAAUAGUCCUAACAUCCGGAGAAAGGCCACCAUGGACACAUAGUACUGUUCCAUCUAUAAUUGCCGAGAGAGUCAGAUAGUCAAAUACGUCAGUGCAAUACCGCCAAGCAUUUGCAUUUCCAUACUUCCUUUGGCAUUCAUCAUAGAAUCCAUAGACCUGAGUUAGCUGCCUGCUUUCAUGGUUCCCGCGUAAAAGUGUAAUGUUUGCUGGAUAUCUUGCUUUAAGGAGCAAUAAAAUUGUGAAAACUUCGAGACUAUUGUAUCCACGAUCAACAAAAUCUCCCAUAAAGAUGUAAUUUGUCUCUGGCACAUGACCACCAGUGUGGAAAAGUUUCAUUAGAUCAUGA